AGCAAAAUGAUGAGGCGUUUAUAUCUGAAUCUGAUGUAGAACCCCAUACCAUUUUGGUCUUCAAAGUUCUCUGAUUGCU